rnacentral:lncRNA from 1 species
AUUUUGGCCAGACAUGCAAGGGUCUCAUUUCAGAACAACUUGAGGAGCCAUUUGACCCAGCAUCAGGGGAAACAGAAAGAGAAUGUCAGUCAUUUGCUUAUUUAACUAUUUUUAAAGACAUAAUUAGUUCUAUUGAAUUAUUGCAGCAGAGGAAGGAUGGAAAUACGAGAACUAGUGCAAAGUAGGAGGGGAAAUAAAGGCAGUGGGAACUCAACUUGAAAAUUUCAAAAGCUAAAUAAUGUUGAAAACAAGGACCACAUUGGUUUAACAUCUUGUUUCCUUUUGUUUAUUGCUGGGCGUUAGAAGGUUCAUGGGCCCGUGUACAGAAGUGAUAUUGAAAAAAAGAGAAAGAAGAAAGAAAGAAAGAAAAAGAAAGAAAGAAAAAAGCUCUUCCCUUUACAACACAAUGCAAAAACUCUCAACUCCUUCCGAAAUGUGGCCUUUCCCUAGGAACCCUUUUUACCGAGAGUUCUGCUUUAUGACAGCAGCUUGA